UAAAAGUGAGAUGGAUUGAUUGCUUA
rnacentral:piRNA from 1 species